rnacentral:misc_RNA from 1 species
GCAAUUAGGCAAAGCAGGAAGUUGUGAGUAUAGUUAGCAAAUAGUUCCACUGGACUAUUUUUGAAGCCUUAGAUUCAAUUUCCUUUAUACAAGCAUCCACCUCAUUGCAUUUAAAAAUAACUGUCGUAACGACUUGAUUUAGGGUGAUAUAGGAGAAAUUUUUCCGAUGAAAACUGAACUAAUCAACUUGCUUUUAGUUAUUGCGAGGAA